GGAUAAUUUUCAUGAGAAACCUUUUCUCGUGUGGAAGAAGUGGCGCACAAAAUAAAGGGGUGGCACAUGGAUUAGUUGCCCAUUCAAAUUCAAACAUUCUUUGAAUUUGAAUGGCCAACAAACCAAACUUUAUCCAGAUAAAUGGCACAUAAGAGAGGGCAUGGGAAGGCUUCUGUAUGGGAGAAAAUUUAUGAGAAGUUAUUUCUUGUGAAUUCAAAUGGGCACAGAU
rnacentral:lncRNA from 1 species